rnacentral:lncRNA from 1 species
AGUAGUGCCCUCUCAUCUUGCAGACGACGGGUUGGGGCACGUGCGACGCUUUGAAUGGGUCGUGGUGCUGAGCAGCAAACAGCAGGCCCAAAACAUAGGACGGGAAGUGCUGCUCAUCAUGAGCUCCGUGCCAAGGGCCUUAUGGGAGCCCCGAUGCGGUGGUAUAGCGGGGGAGGCCAGAAACUCGCCGGUGUUUUGCCUCACAUGCGCCUGGUUCACGAAAUAGACGUGCACAAGCAGUAAAGCUACUUGAGCUGCUUAUGUGUGUGUGGUUCAUCAAUGAUUCGGUCCCUUUUUGAUACCGGCCCAGGCCCGGUCCCUCCACUGUGGCCCAGUUGUAUCCGGACAUCAGCCCAGUGGUGGCCAUGACGCCGAAUAA